rnacentral:lncRNA from 1 species
UUUGUGCGUGUGUAUGUAUGUUAUUACAGGGUGGUUAACUUCGCCAGCGGCCCCCUUUCCCGGGGCAGUCCCUGCUCUCCCCUGCUAGAGGGGCACCCUAAUCCGUCACCCCAUCCGACUUCAGAAUGUAUUCGUUGGGUUCGGCAACUCACCACCAGCAUCCAACCAAAUCUAGCGGAUCAACGGCGCAUCAACUUAGUUCCUGGUCAGCUCGCAAGUUGAUAUUAUCACGUCCUACACCGUCCAUAUGAUGGGGGGCCACCUCCCAUUUCAUCACUCCUCAAAUACCCGAGGAGCUGGCAGGCGGAUUUGAACCCGGGUCGACUGGAUCGACUGGGAGCAGAAGUCAGGCCUUAACUUCUGCCAGCCGCCUGCCCGUGUGUAUGUAUGUAUAUGUGUGUGUAUGUAUGUAUGUAUGUAUGUAUGUAUGUAUGUAUGUAUGUAUGUAUGUAUGUAUGUAUGUAUGUAUGUAUGUAUGUAUGUAUGUAUGUAUGUAUGUAUGUAUGCAUGUAUGUAUGUCUACACUGCCUUACAGAGGUGCGGUAGUGUGCACCAGCGGCAACAGCAGCAGAAAUGUUAAACAGCAGCAGACUCCAGGGAUACCGGUGCGUCCUCCGCUAGGACUCGAUUUCGCGAAGACACCAACCCGCGACCCGUGGGUCUGCCAAGCGAUAUGCAUUUGCAUGCCUGCAUACGCAAAAAACCGCCCAGCUGCCCCGCUUAGCAUGGUGUGCGGAUUUCGAGUACGAUCCAGACCCACAACGCCCCUUACCGCCCGUGCGCGGCCUGCCCUCCUGCCUCAGACCGCCUACAGCGGCGCCGCGGAGGCGGUGGAGGCGUGUCACGACCAUAUAGCGGAGGCAGUCCGUGAGCGUUACAGCGCCGAAACCAUGUGGAGCGACAAGAUCCGGCGGGCCUCUACCUGGUGGACUGCGGGCCUUAUGGCACUGCAGCUGGUGUCGUUCAUGGUGCGGGGUGCGCGUUCGUAUACGACACGCGUGAUAAUGUCGUACCAAGCCGAAAUGGCUUGCUGGGGUUCUGUGGCUAGGUGGUUAGUGCCUGCCCGUGUGGGUUUUUUCUUGGCGUGGAAGCGGGGGGGGGGAGAGAGCGGAAUGGCGCCUUUCCAGCCUCUGAGCUAGAAGGCCGGCUUUCUGCCUUCCUGGCUGCUGUCCGUUCGCUGCACUUCAAAGCGUGGCUGUGUGAGGUGGUGCGCUGCUGACACACACCUUGCUGGUGCGUCUGUCAUUCCUUCGUUAAUGACAAGCAUCGCAACCGUUCCCGUUGCGAAACAUCGCCUUUCAUGUGCCGGGCAUGCACACACCAGUCCGUGUACCUCGUGAUGGAGCCCAUCAAGGCGCAGCGGCUCCGGAACCACGUGGAGGAGGUUUUGCGGGCGGAGCUCUCCAAUGUACGGCAGUCUCUGGCGUCGCUCGAGUCUAACGCCGUGCAGUUCCGGAGCGUGGGCACGGAGGUGCGGGCUGCGGCGGUAUCGGCCGUGGCGCCGGGGCUUAGCAUAGCAGACGUGGCAGAUCCUAUGCUCGAGGGCGCAGACACGCGCACGGUCUCGCGAGAGCUUCUGGAUCAGGUACGACACAUUAAAAGCCACUUGGCGGCGCUGGAGAUCAGGUUAGCGGCCUCAGCGGCAGGAGGCAAUCCGAUAGAGAUGGUUCGUGGUGGGGAGUCCCCGCCGGCGCAGCCGUCGCCCUCGCACAGUGCCGAUGCCGAUGGUGCUGCUCUCACUACGGAGCAACUAGACGAAGGCCCCGAGGGGGCCGCGGCGCCUGAAGCACGGAGCUGGCGCCGGCGGCUGAGGCAUCAGCUGCUUGUUGUUGCAGCCAAUCCUGAAGCGAGGACAGCAGCCGCUGCGUUCACAGGCGCAGCGCUUGGCGUUGGGAUGCUGUUGCUGUUUCGGCGGGACGGGUAAUCAAAAAGCGGAGUGCCUGGCAGCGGCGGAGCCAGAGAUUGGAAGCUUUUAGCUCGAUGCAUGUUAAUUUCUCGCGUCCUUUUAUUUUCCCCUGUUGGGUUGAAAAAGCGACCUCAACGGGCAUGCUAGUGGUAACACAUGCAAACUGUUCACAGGCCUGGGUCGCAGCUAAUGCUUCAUUGGGCACGCCUCGCAUUGGUCACCUGUUACAGCAGCACUAUUUUAAGUGGAAGACACGGUAUCGGAAGGGCCUUUAAAUAAUCCUUGUCCGCUAUUAGCCCACCUUUGGCCUCUGCUAGCACAACCCUAAUCGGCACUGUUCCCGAACAGACAAGACCGGGCGACCCUCGCACAGGAAACGUACCGCCAGCACCUUCACACUUCCGAGGGGUGCGCCAUUGAAAAAGAACUUGUUAAUUAAGCUAGGUAAAUGCUUCCAAGUUUGAGAACUUGCCAGCUUGCCUAGCCUAAGCGCCAUAGUCCUAUCCAUUAUUAUCCUAAUCCACCGAAGACCUGCCCAUAUCCUCAUGUAUCGUAACGCCCAAACAGGAACUCUCUUAUGUAACGCAGGCAAGCGACCACGCAAGAACCUGGACUGUACGUAACCCCAAGCAGGCGUACACGUCCAAGCAGUGUGUUUCCUCCACCUGGCCCUUGGACCCUUCUUCCCCUCAUCCGAGAACUCCACUGCUACCCAAACCCCACUCCCAUCCGCAAUUUUGCCCCGCGUCAUGCAACAUCAUCUCAUCUUCGUCACAGCCACGAACUUGGAUGCAUCGGCUGUCCCGUCACGGACACAUACUCCUACCAGGCCGAACAUCCGAGAUUUCCCAACAGGCAUAUUAUGUACCCGGCAUCUGGAUCCGAAGCCGCAUCCGCUCCAGGCUUUUAAUCGAACAUGUUCUCAGCCAGGAAGUUGGCCGCCAUCUCCUCAUUCUUGUCACAAGCCAGGUAUGCCUCCAGGCAAGCGUUGCGGUCGAAACCCAGAGCGGCCAGGCGGGUAAUGGCUGCCUCGUCGUCCUCGGUCAGCUCGACAACCAUGCCGCCCUCGCCACCCUCGCCGCCGCCCAGAAGCGCAGCCAUGGCCUGCAGGGAAAGGGGUAGAUGCAUUUAUGCGAGUGGUGCAAUGGCGCAAAGCUCAACGCCGCCCAAAUAAAUAGAGGCAUUAGCACCCAGCUGUUUGCACGCUGUUACGUGCCUUUCCCGCGCGUAUACGCCCGCAGGCCGAAGCAGCAACGAGCUGCUCAUCCAGCUCAUAUCCCGCACCCAAACCACCAUUCGCGUCCUAUGCCCUCAUGUCACGUCUUCUGGCGCCUGUCGCAACCUCUCUGGGUCGGCAAGGUAAGCAACCUGCACCUCCUUUCGGCCAGCCCUACCAAACUUCCGUUCGCCCCGCAGGCCGCAACUCACAUCGUCCUCAUCGCCUUCAACGGGCUCAGUGAGCAUCCGCAGGAACUCCUGCUGGUUCUGGUUGAUGACCUGCACCAGCUCCGGGUUCGAGCGACCCAAUUGCUGCACACAGCCACAAGGGGAAAGGCCAGGGGCAAGCAGAAACUUCAUCCAUAGUUCAGGUGUAAGGAAUCAAUCUCGCACGUCCAAAACACGAUCUUAGCCCGGGCGGUCUGGCUGUGUUAGUGCGCCUUGGCCUGACUAGCUGGGCACGCGGUGCAAGCUACAUGGCCGUGCACUCGACCCGUUCGGUUUACGCUGUAACAAAUCGCAUUCUGGCUGUGAAAAGGUCUCGGGGUGAGGAGUGGCCCCGGGAACCUAUGGUUUGGGCAGGUUGAAUCACGGGUUACUUUUGGCCAAGGUCAUCGAGAAGGGAUUAACAAACAACAGUAAAAAGUGGUUGAAGGAGCUUCUGCAGGAAAGCUGCGCAGUAGUUCCUCAUCACUGCCGGAUGGAAGCCCAUGCUCCUCUCAACAAUAGACCUUGGGAGGACCAUGAUAGCGCAAUUAAAUAUACCUGCUAUGUAUAAAACUUCUGCUCUCCACAUCUCCGCGGUACACAACAUGACUAGAAAUCAAGUAUAUUCGUAAAAUUGCCCUGGCCGCGCAACGAUACAGUAAAGCCGGGCGGCACAGAAUCCAAGACUGCUUAACCUGCUUGACCCAAAAAGCUUUUGCGUGGCGCGCACAAGGAAAACAUUCCUUUGACAACUCUUUUUUCCUUACCUGAAGCAUCGGCACGAGCGACCGCGGUUCUUGAGCCACAGCGGUGCGCAGCAUUGCAAAGGCGGGGUUGUCCCGCAGGGCCGCCAGCGCCGGGUUAAGGUUGCCCUCGCCGCCGCCCGCAGCCGCCGGGGCCGGUCCGCCAAACAUAUUGAAAGGCAGCGCAGUUGGUCCCGCGUCCGCAGCGGGAGCAGCACCGGGUGCAGCUGUCGCGGCCUGCGCUUGUGGGUAUAGGAGGGUGCACGGAAAAGGCCCGUGUCAAAACAUCAGUAAAGCUGCCAUAGCAGCAGCAGCAGCAACCGCAGCAGCAUCGCACAAUCUAUCAGAAGCCGCGACAGGUCUUCGCGACAAGUCGCAGACGGGGUAGGCGAGUGCUAGGCCCGUGUGCCAGGGUGCCAUAUCCACAUCACCUGCGCGGCUGGCGGCGCGCCUACCGCAGCAGCAGGGCGCGGGGCAGCCUGGGGUGGUUGCGCGGCCGGAGGGGGCGGUCCGGCAUUCGCCGGAAUGCCCGUCAUGAGGUACUCGACGGCCCGAUCUGGAUUGUUGAAGGCGGCCCGCAUCGCCCGAAUAACCUGAAGGGGAAAAAGGAAAACCAAUCAGGGACCUACAGUGAAGGCCACGACGAAACAAUAGCGCAUAAAAGACCAGGAUCUCCUCCCGCGCAGGAGCCCGUCGCAAUCUAGCUCGCAGGAGUUUAGCAACAGAUCCGGUUGGGAUAUUUCGUGGAAAGACCGCCAUCAGCCAGACCAGAGUCCUGGUCUGGGCGUUUAGCUUUGGGCUUCGCGACAGGGUUAGGACGGUGCAAGCUUUGUCCUUUGGUUCAUACCUCCUCUCGGGCAAAGCCCAUUUCGCAGAUGUUAGCAAUAGCCGUUUCCAAGGCAGAUCCUGCAAGCAGACCAGAAGCCGCCGCCGUGUAGGCGUCGGCGGGAUGGGCAGCUGGCGCCGCGGCCGCGGGAGCAGCCGCAGCUGCUGGGGCGGCAGCUGGGGUUGUAGGGGGAGGAUAGCAACAAGGGAUGGCAACAACGGGGAUGACGGUAACGUCAAUGCAACGUCAAUCAACACUCGAGCAACGCGCUGGCCAUUUCGUUUGGCGGCAAGCACAGGACUUUGAAGGAGAAGCUUUAUAACACCUGUCCGCAACACGCAUAGGGCGAGCAGCCACACCCGCAAUGACCGAUGUUUUCUGCUUGCCCUUAUCCCCACGGCCAACCGAACACAGGCGCCAGCGCCAGCAAUUGUAUGCACCGAUACCAGCCAGUUCGGUUGCGUGCGCAACUGUCAAAGACGCACCGGGGGCCUGUGCCGGUGGGGGUUGUGCAGCGGGCGCGGAGGGGGGGGCCGCAGCAGCCGGUUCCGUCGCCGCCUGCAGAGAUCCGUGUUGCGAAUGACAGGAGAUCACCAUCGAGCAUCUUGCUUGCGCCCAUGGGGACAUGACUUACAGGCGCGGGAGCAGGAGCCGGCUUUGGUGCCUCCGCCUUCUUGGGCUGGACAAAGACGACGAUAAAGCCCUGCUCCGUAAUCUGGUUAUCCCCAACUGUUGUUCCGUCGUCCAGCACUUUUCCUUUGUAUACAAGCUUCAUGGCAUCACGGUGGCAGUCCGGCUGGGCCUCUUGGACCUUGUCUUUAAGGGCCCCGAUGGUGAGGCUCUCCUCCGCCUCGACACUGAAGCUCUUGCCAGCUAUUGUCCUAAAGGUUAGCUUCAUUUCUCCAGGAACUGCAAGUGCUCCGUGAUACCCAAAGCCUAGGACAAACAGCAAUACACGAAAAAUGAAAUCGGUUCUUGCUAGCAGGGCCAAAUCCACGUGUGUCAGUAGCUCUGACCAGUUGACAGAAAUUACCGGUUUGGCUUAUUGCAGGACGGUGCUCUUGAUGUCCAAGAUCUGAGCGGGAGCUCGGCAAUGUCCUUUACUUCAGGGCAGAGUAAUGGUCUAGACGAUAGAGGCAAUGAGGGAAAAGCAUCACUCUAUGUUGGGGCCAGUCCUGUAGUCAUCUCGGGAUUGCUACGACGAGAGCCUCAGCACAUCCACGCCCAGGCACACUCGAAAUGUGAGCAACUUUGCCAGAUGCAAAAUAAUUUGUUUUUUAAACUCUUACACGCAUGGCUUGUAAAACUUUGGUGUGGCUUCAAGCUGGCUGCGUUCAUUACCGAAAUUGUGUAGCAGACUAUCGGCAGGUGGACGUGCGUUUCAACUUAGUCAGUAAGGCAUCCUAUAUAUUCUUCACUGGAUACUUUGAAAUGGAGGCGUCGUCUUCGGCAGUUUCCUGAGCCAGGACUCAUGCCGGCCUGGCCCUUUCUUGCGUCUCGUUUUCGGGCAAACAUUUUGCAAUAAGCACAAUGUUAGAGAUUAGGCUGUGGCAUCAGCGGGGUGCUGGUACAUCACCGGGUGUAAGCACCGGUUACCAUAAUGCCACUAGGUUUGACAUGGACACGGGGGUGGCUGAGGGAGUAUACGGCUCGGGUUCCAUUUCCCUAUAGCUUCACCCCCUUGGAAAAAUAGAGUGGGCACGGACCGCAACCAACCCCGACUGCCAGAACAACAAGCUUUACGAAUUGCACAAAUCGAGAAAUGGUUUACGAAUUGCCGAAGGCACAUAUCUUACAAGAUGCACCAACUCACCGCAUGGCCUUCACGUCCUGAACUGGCAACGCAAUUUGUCCGAGACAUGGGCAAUGGAGAAGCCUUACGGGCAGCAGUAAGCUCCCUUGGAACUGCAAGCCUCAGGCGCGCGGCUUCCAAGAGGCCUGAUAUCCAUGUCCACUUCAUCAUUUUUUUGAAGGAACAUGUCGGGUAGCAUGUAUAGAAAUUGCCCAUUGCCUAACGCCUUUCUUUUUCGUCCUCAAGUGUAGCCGUACCGUUCGCAACGACCCUAACGGCUAGGUUGCUUGACAGGACAGUAGAAACCGUGUAACUAUGGCAUGGGGCUGGUCCUUAUAAUAAAGUAACUGAACUAGUACAUGUUUGUUCGUCGGUAGCGUCAAUAACCCUCCCUUUAUACACUUCCAUGUCGUCGCUGGACCACUUCUGACUCAAUUCCACAGCUCCAAGCGGAACGUGAACUAUUCAAUAUGAGAAUGCAUAGAAGUUACAAAUGUCCUUGGUGAAAAAACCGUUGCCGUGAGGAACCGCGGGCUCGACGCGAAGCGAGGACAAUAUCAGCUGCAGCCAACUCGCAAUCGACCAUCCGAACCAGCAGCGCAACAUGUUAGGCUCUGCAGGAAACAUCAUGCUGGUGGGUCCAGCAGACGUCUCCUGGUUUUAGCGUUUUCACUUCGCCGGUGUGUCCAUUCGACUCGCACAGCUACGCUCUGCGAAACAAAACUACACCCAGCACCGCUCUGGACCAGUACGUCCAACAACCCAUGCAUUCAUUCUUAUUUCCACCUCGCCUUUUCCCACGUCUGCGCCUGCAGGGAAUGCUGUCGGCGCCCGAUGCGCCGCAGAGCUUACAGGACCGCACAGCAGAGGAAGUCCUUCGUCGGGCAAGGAUCGCACACGGCAGUCGAAUGGCGACUCUGGCGCACGUCAACCGCGUGGUAGACGAGCGUUCCACCUCCCGUCAACAGCGGACCUCCCUCAUCCGCAUGCAGUACGACAGGAGAGGACCUGCUUUUUCAGUUUUUGACGAUACAGCCCAUGCCUAUGCGGAGGUCAGCGCCUAUGCAGACCUAGACAGCCUCGGACACAGCUCACCGUCUGACGGUGCGGCCUCCAGUGAGGACGAUGAGAAGACGGAGGAGGGCGACAGCAGUCAGCCGCGCACGAGUGCCGACACGCUGGCUAGUUGCACGUCCCGCAAGGACAGCUGCGACUGCGAACGAGGGCAAGAUAGACCCCCGCCAGCCAGCAGCAUGCCCGCAGCCAACGCAGCCAGCAGCCGCUCAAGCAGUCGCCGCAUCCUCCCCGCCGGCAUCCCCAGUUUAAACCUCGCCGACAUUAAACCCGCCGCCGACGACGAGCUGGUGUCUGAAGAUCUCUUUGCCAAGUGCAUCGUGCGGUUACGCAGCGCGACAGCCGAAGUGGGAAGCAGCGGCGGCAGUGGAAGCAACCGAAGUGGAAAUGGGAAUGGAAGCAGCGAAAGUGGAAAUGGGAAUGGAAACAGCGGUAACGGAAGCGCAAGCGCUGGCCAUAGUCAGCUGUCCGCCGGGGCGCCCACUGCGCCGGCGGCCGCCUGGGUGGACGAGGAAUCAUCGCCGCCACAGACGAGCGGCGGUGGCGGCGGCGGCGGCGGCGACUUCUCCAGUUCUGCCCAAAACACUUCACCCUGGGACUGUGAGACUGCUACGUCCUUCAGCUUGACGCUCCCGAGUCACAUCAACGAUGCGUGGGUGAGGGCGGCGAUGAGCCCACAGCCCGGCUCUGCACUUGCCAACCUGCUCGCUAACUCCGCAUCGAGCAGUUGGCGAUUGAGGGCGAAGCGCGUCUCAGCGCCGUCAGGUGCGGGGCUGCCACUUCUGCGGGCAUCAUGCCCCGGACCGGUGGCAGCUGGGCCGGGCGACGGCAGCGGUGAAACUGCUGCCGCCGCCGCUGCCGCCAGCGGGGCCGGUGGAGGGUUGCCGCCGCGCAGCGGCCCCGCCGCCACCAUAUCAUCACGGUCCGCCCUCCACGGCACCGGCUCCACCGGCGCGCCGGCGACUCCGCCAGUCAGGUCCAGCGCGUUGACUUCUGAGCUCUCUAACGGGGCCUUAUGGGGCGCCCCUGGCGUUCCAAGGCCUCAAGUGUUUGCCGCGCCACAAGCACCCAUGGCGGAUCUCUCACCCGCCUCAACGGCCUCGUCUUUCGUGUCGCCACCUCAGCCGCCGUUGGGACCUCAACAUCAAGGUGGGCAACAACAGGCGGCGGCGACGGUGCUGCCGCCGCCGCCGCCGCCGCUGCCGCUGCAAUCGCGUAACUCCCGCGACAGGAUCCCUUCCACCCCACUUCCAGCCACCACACUGCCGUACAUCACAACCCCAAUCGCCGCCACGUCUGCCGCCGGCAUCCGCUCACGGAGCGCAAGUCCGGCCCCUCUCACUGCCAGUGGCGCCAGCCCGAAUCGUACCAGCGUGCAGGAACACAACAGCAUGGCUGGCGGAGUGGCUGCCGUCUGGCGGGUUGCCGCGCCAGCCGUGCUGCGCGACCCACGGGUCGUUACCCCCGGCGGCCGGCGUUCAGUAGCGGGUGCAGCGGCCUCCAACGGCGUCCUUUCUAGUUCCUGGUCGGGGAGUCCGGGCCACCUCCGGCCCUGCAAUAGCACUGGCCGCGGCUCGAGUGAGGAGCCCCUCAGCGUGUGUCGCAGCGGGCCCGGGUUUACUUCCCGGCAUCGGCCGAUGUUGCAACUGCAGCAGCAGCAGCAGCAGCAGCAUCGUGCACAGGGCGGUGUCGGGAGCUGCGGCAGGACUGGACCGCUAUUGCGGCCCGCCCAGAGGGAAGUGAGUUACACUCUGGCGGCGGCGGUGGCUGCAGCCGCGGCCACAGCGGAUGCAGAUGGAGGGUUUGGAGGCGGGGAUUCUCCUUUGCAGCCACCGGACAGCACCCCGUCCGUGGCAAGUGCAAAUGAGUCCAAACAGCUACAGCCACAGCAGCAGCCACAGCCACAGCAGCCACAGCCACAGCAGCCACAGCCACAGCUACAGCCACAGCAGCAGCCACAGCCACCGUCAACGCAGCCGCCGGCGCCGUCAACGCAGCAGCCGCCUCUUGGUCGGAGGUCACUGACGCUGUCAUCAGCGCGUGGGUCGGCCAGCGAUGUAGCAGCGCAAUGCCCCCCACAGCCAUCCUCGCAUUCCCCACUCCAUCCGUCGUCGCAAACGCAAUCGCAGCCAUCACUGUGUCCGCAGCAUCAACCCCCCCAGCAGUAUUUGCAACAGGUAUGGUUUUUCAUAUAUUUAUAUAUAUAUAUAUAUAUGUAUAUAUAUACAUACAUAUAUAUAACAUAUAUCCUAGGUAGGACAUCCUAGGGCUACCUCACGGUUAUUGCCGCCGCUGCCACGCCAUUUCCACGCCGCUGCUGCUGCUGCCGUAACACCUGUACGAGGCUUCCACAUCCGGCGACGGGACAGGGUUUUGGCAUUCUACUGGUCGGGGGUUUCCUCGUUCUACAGCCCCAAGUCUCCAAGCGGUAUCCUCUCACCUCCCUCUAUCCAACACGUCUCGCUCCCUUGCUGCAGGUUGCCGGAAGUUCGCCCCUGUCUCAAGCCGUAACAGCAACGGUAACAGCAACGGUAACAGCAACAGCAGCGGCUGCCACGCCUUUCGCCGUAGUCUCGCCAAUGCUGGACGGCGCGUCCUGGACCUCCAUUCCGGGGUUGGGAGAGGUCAACGGAAGCGCUGUGCACGUGGUUACACACCCGGGCUGCGCCUCAAGCCGGUCCUCUGUGCUGCAAGGUGAACAUGCUCCAGUUAGUUGCGGUAGCAAAGGUGGUGGCGGCGACAGCAGUGCCGGCGGUGGCUGCGGUGGCGACACCAAACCCCGCGCAGCACCUGAGGUGAGGCGGCGCCACAAGAGCGAAUCUUCCUCAGAGAGCUACCACCACCACCACCACCACCAGGCCCCGCAGCCGCAGCAGUACCCACAGCAGCACGAGGUUUCCCCGGGUUGUCGUACGGCGCAACACCAGCAGCAAGAAGCUAUACGGCAAGAGUCGUCGCGGGUUCCAAAGCGGCCGGCGGUAGCAGCGGCGACGACGACGGCGAUGUCGACGUCGGCCCAAAGUGUAUCGCCCGCCGGGCUGCUGGCGUACGGAAGGCUCAACGGCACGGGGGGCUUUCCGCCGUACCCAUCGCCGCCGCCGCCGCCACCACACCCGCAGUACCAAGCUGGAAUGUUGGGAGGCGGCAGGCCACGGUCUUGAUGAAUAGAUGAAAGAAAUCGAUGGUAUGCUCGGAUGGUACGGGAGCCCUAACGCACCGUGCCGGGGGCCGGCUUGCACGCGCGUAGACAUUUCACGUUUCGAAUGCUUGCGCCCAGGCGAAGUUCGUUAUGGCGGUUGGGCAUGCACGACGGAAUGUCAAGCGGAAUGGCGCCUGCUGGUCUGUGUGCUUGCACCUUGUACCUUUCGUAUUUCCACGUUUACUAUAGCAAAAAACUUCCGUAACGAAACAGUCUUGUUGCAUGUUGUUGUGUGUAUCAUGGAUGGGAUGUUCGUUGGUUGCUAUCCAGUUCACUAGUACAGGAAGGACGUGCCCCCGCGUACAGCGAAUUGUAAGCUUGUGCAGUUUAGGCUUUUGCUGUUGGGGGUUAGCGGCGAACAGAGCACGCAAGGGACGGCGUUAUGUACCUAGGAAGGCGGGGCUAUGCCCCUGCUGCGGCACUGAUAGGCAUAUGGAAGAUGAGAAGCCCUAUGGCAUAAACAUGCCGGUUACCGACCGUUUGGGGCCCAUUAACCCAACCGGCCGGUUGAAUGGCGUAANNNNNNNNNNNNNNNNNNNNNNNNNNNNNNNNNNNNNNNNNNNNNNNNNNCAAACGGUCGGUAACCGGCAUGUUUAUGCCAUAGGGAGUAUCCCGGUAGCGCGGGAAGCAGCGUUCGCCAAUAUUAUUUAAAGGCCUCUAACGCUGCAGGAAAAUUUUAGUAGAAGAUUUAGAACUAUGUAUGUAUUUAGUUUUAGCGUUUGUUCCCGCUUUGAGGGCGUGAAAUGCCGUGUCAAUGUCCCUAAUAAGUCAUUGUCCCGGCAUUUCAAUUGUCGCCCAUAAGCAUGAACCAGGCCACCAACUCACAAGCUUACAUGCAACAACUAAACUAACACAAGGUCGUCCAUAUGGCACCUUUGCUUGGACAAGGCAUCCUCCAAUUGGCACGCGGUAAAUUGACUUAGAUUGUUUGCCCUGGCAAACUUAUGUACUCCAAACUCAUCCACUGGACGAUGCUGGCUGUAUUUCUUGCGUGGGCGAUCUUGUCGCCGACGGGCGAUGUUGUCCAGGGCGAUGUUGUUACGGGCGAAACAACGUCCCUCUGAAACGUUUGGAUAUGCCUAUGCAACACAUUUCCUCAAUUUCAUGAACUGCAAGUAUUCUAAUCCAACAUCACCCCAAUCUCAGUGUAAACUAGUCUCCAAAUGUGCCUGCACAAGACUGUCACCCCUGUCACCCGGCAUUCACAUUGCCUUAACCUCCUAAGCUUGUCGGGGUGUGACACGUGGGCAUGAACCUUGUGACAAUGGGCAUUGUCACAAAGAAACUGGUUGCAAUCAGAAAUGCAUUUUUCCUCAUGCCAGGUUACCGACAUCGGUUACCGAUUACU